rnacentral:lncRNA from 1 species
CUAAACUAUUUUUUUCUCCCCGGCUCUGUUAUCAACCUAUGGAAGAGAAAAGGAUCUGACUCAAUAAAAAUUAAAAACUUAUGACUUAAACUACACCUCCCUCCUCGGGCUCUGAAUGAACCGUUAGGGGAGAAGGACCUCCCUUCACAGGCUCUGAUACCAACAUGCACCACGACACCACCUAGCACCAUGAGGUAUCAGAGCUCGGGGAGGGAGGUCCUUUUCCCCUAAUGGUUCAUUUAGAGACCAGAGAGAGAGAUGUAGUGUAAGUCAUAAGUUUUUAAUUUUUAUUGAGUUAGAUCCUUUUCUCUGCCAUAGGUUGAUAACAGAGCCUGGGGAGAAAGAAGUAGUUUAGAAAGAUCGAGGUUUGAUGAGCAGUAGGGGUAUCAAAUAAGAUUACUUAGGCUUGGUCUGAGGAGCAGUAUCAAAAAAUCUAGACUUGGUUUAGAGAGAGAAAAGCUAAGCAUUUUGGUAAAAACAGAGAUUGAUGAGCAAUAAGGGCAUCAAUCAAGAUUACUUAGGCUUGGUCUGAAGAGCAUAAGGAUUGUAUCACUGACGGAUGGUCUGAUGAUGGAGACUCGAAUGUACCUUCGGGUGUAGGACUGCUUCAGGACAUGCCAUUAUUGACGAA